CCUACGGGUGGCAGCAGUGGGGAAUAUUGGACAAUGGGCGAAAGCCUGAUCCAGCCAUGCCGCGUGUGUGAAGAAGGCCUUCGGGUUGUAAAGCACUUUCAGUGGGGAAGAAAGCCUUGGGGCUAAUACCCUCGAGGAAGGACAUCACCCACAGAAGAAGCACCGGCUAACUCCGUGCCAGCAGCCGCGGUAAUACGGAGGGUGCGAGCGUUAAUCGGAAUUACUGGGCGUAAAGCGCGCGUAGGCGGUCUGAUAAGCCGGUUGUGAAAGCCCCGGGCUCAACCUGGGAACGGCAGCCGGAACUGGCAGGCUAGAGUGCAGGAGAGGAAGGUAGAAUUCCCGGUGUAGCGGUGAAAUGCGUAGAGAUCGGGAGGAAUACCAGUGGCGAAGGCGGCCUUCUGGACUGACACUGACGCUGAGGUGCGAAAGCGUGGGUAGCAAACAGGAUUAGAUACCCGAGUAGUCC
rnacentral:rRNA from 1 species